ensembl:snoRNA Gm24039 predicted gene, 24039
CCUGCCCCUAGAGGUGUGACAGAUGUGGCUGGCAUCUCACUUGUGCAUCAGUAGGUGUCAGAGAGGAGAGAGGCUAUGCUUACUCUCAGUGUUCUGAUGUAGGAACAUCUGAAUGAUUUGUAGCCUAACAUU